GACGAACGCUGGCGGCGUGCUUAACAAAUGCAAGUCGAACGGAAAGGCCCUGCUUUUGGGGGGUGCUCGAGUGGCGAACGGGUGAGUAACACGUGAGUAACCUGCCCUUGACUUUGGGAUAACUUCAGGAAACUGGGGCUAAUACCGGAUAGGAGCUCCUGCUGCAUGGUGGGGGUUGGAAAGUUUCGGCGGUUGGGGAUGGACUCGCGGCUUAUCAGCUUGUUGGUGGGGUAGUGGCUUACCAAGGCUUUGACGGGUAGCCGGCCUGAGAGGGUGACCGGCCACAUUGGGACUGAGAUACGGCCCAGACUCCUACGGGAGGCAGCAGUGGGGAAUAUUGCACAAUGGGCGGAAGCCUGAUGCAGCAACGCCGCGUGCGGGAUGACGGCCUUCGGGUUGUAAACCGCUUUCGCCUGUGACGAAGCGUGAGUGACGGUAAUGGGUAAAGAAGCACCGGCUAGCUACGUG
rnacentral:rRNA from 1 species